AGCCUCGUAGCUCAGCUGUUGGAGCGUACACUGUAGAAAAGCGUAGGCGGCGUCCAUGCGUGAGUUCGAAUCCCACCGAGGCUA
rnacentral:tRNA from 1 species